rnacentral:rRNA from 1 species
UUUAGAGAAGCGUUAUCCGCGCUGGACCGUGUACAAGUCUCCUGGAACGGAGCGUCAUAGAGGGUGAGAAUCCCGUCCAUGGCACGGACUCCCAGUGCAUUGUGAUGCGCUCUCGAAGAGUCGAGUUGUUUGGGAAUGCAGCUCUAAAUGGGUGGUAAAUUCCAUCUAAAGCUAAAUAUAGGCGAGAGACCGAUAGCGAACAAGUACCGUGAGGGAAAGAUGAAAAGAACUUUGGAAAGAGAGUUAAACAGUACGUGAAAUUGUUGAAAGGGAAACGCUUGAAGUCAGUCGCGUUGUUCAGGGAUCAGCCUUGCUCUGCUUGGUGUACUUCCUGUUCAACGGGUCAGCAUCAGUUUUGACCGCUGGAAAAGGGACGCAGGAAUGUGGCAUCCUCGGAUGUGUUAUAGCCUGUGUUCGUAUACAGCGGUUGGGACUGAGGAAUCAGCACUCGAUGCUUGGGAUGCUGGCAUAAUGGCUUUAAGCGACCCGUCUUGAAACACGGACCAAGGAGUCUAACAUGCCCGCGAGUGUUUGGGUGGAAAACCCGGACGCGCAAUGAAAGUGAAAAGUUGGGAUCUCUGUCGUGGAGAGCACCGACGCCCGGACCUGAUGUUUUCGGAAGGAUCUGCGGUAGAGCGUGUAUGU